rnacentral:rRNA from 1 species
CAAUGGGGGAAACCCUGAUGCAGCCAUGCCGCGUGUGUGAAGAAGGCCUUCGGGUUGUAAAGCACUUUCAGUUGUGAGGAAAAGUUAGUAGUUAAUACCUGCUAGCCGUGACGUUAACAACAGAAGAAGCACCGGCUAACUCCGUGCCAGCAGCCGCGGUAAUACGGAGGGUGCGAGCGUUAAUCGGAAUUACUGGGCGUAAAGCGCACGCAGGCGGUUUGUUAAGCUAGAUGUGAAAGCCCCGGGCUCAACCUGGGAUAGUCAUUUAGAACUGGCAGACUAGAGUCUUGGAGAGGGGAGUGGAAUUCCAGGUGUAGCGGUGAAAUGCGUAGAUAUCUGGAGGAACAUCAGUGGCGAAGGCGACUCCCUGGCCAAAGACUGACGCUCAUGUGCGAAAGUGUGGGUAGCGAACAGGAUUAGAUACCCUGGUAGUCCACACCGUAAACGCUGUCUACUAGUAGUUUGUGACUUUAAGUCGUGAGUAGCGAAGCUAACGCGCUAAGUAGACCGCCUGGGGAGUACGGCCG